AUGUUUGCCUCUAGAAGAUAUUGGUAUAGCCAUGUCAAAAGGUGUCAAAAAAAUUCUUGCCAAACAAUUAUUCCUAUACCUGUAAGAGUCUUACAGGUUCCAGACAAUGUAAAUAUUAGUGAAGCUUUUCGCACAAAAUUUUUGGCAACAUUUAAAACUGAUAAUAUAGGACAGAUUUGUUGCUCAGACCCUAUGAUACUGAGUAUUGGGAGUAUGUUUUUUAAUAAAGAAAAGCGUAAGUUCGGAAAAGCUAUCGCUGUCAGAAACUCAGUACGUACUGAUAUGAGACGAUUGGCGAACUUUCUUCACGAUAUGUUCACUCGUGUUAAUUUUUAUGCAUUGAGAGAGACAAUAGAGAUAUAUACUACAUCCGAUACUUCUACUUUAAAAGCAGGAUUAAAGCAAAAAUUAUUUUAUUUACUUAAACGCUCAGCAAAAACAGCAUAUUUUAAAAGAAUAAAAGACCUUACAGACGAGUCUUAUGAUUUUUUUGAUAUAUCAAGUUUUGUUGAGCUGCGAGACUGUGCAUGUGCAAGAUUGACUUUGUUAAAUGGGCGAAGAGGAGGAGAGCCAGCUCGAUUGCAAAUUGAUGAGUACAAUGAUGCAGUUAAUGAUUCAUGGAUUGACAAACAAAGACUUUUUGAACUUGAUGAAAUGGAUCAAAGAUUAGUAAAACAUCUCAAAAUAACUUACAUGUGUGGAAAAGGCAAUAACCAUUUGUUCCCAAUUCUUAUUCCACCAGAUACUAUGCCAGCGUUAAUAAAACUGGCUGAUCCUAAUGUACGUAGUUCUGUUAAUGUUUUAAAGAGUAACACUUUUUUAUUUGCUGGGACAAAAUUAUCUGAAAGGCACACUUCAGGAUGGCAUGCAGUUCAUAAUAUUAUAAAUAAUCUUAAGUUAAAGAAGCCCGAAAAUAUAAAAGCAACUUCGAACCGUCAUCGUGUUAGUACUCUUUUCUCAGCUCUAGAUUUGCCAAAGAAAGACAGGGAGUUGUUUUACAAACACAUGGGUCAUUCAGCUGCUGUCAAUGAAGGCACUUAUCAAGUUCCUCCUGCCUUAAUGGAAACUGUUAAAGUUGGAAAACAUCUACUAAACUUUGAUUUGUCUAAAACCUAUCCAUUAAGAAAAAAUUUUAAGCGCAAAUAUGCAGUGGGUUCUGAAGAUAAAAAUAAAAAUGCAGUGGAUUCGGAAACCAUCAUGGAAUGUUCUUCUGACACCAACAUGGAAUGUUCUUCUGACGAAUGUUUUGACCCUUUAAAAGAAAUUAGUUCUGUAUCAGACGACGAAGAAUUAAAAUCAGUAAGCAGACCUUAUCAUUGCUGGAAUUCAAGAACUGAGAAACUAUUACUUGAGAGGUUUUCUAAAGAGAUUGAGCGUGACGCUAUGCCUGAUCAAAAAACUCUCCGAAAAUUUGUUAAAGAAAGUGGCAUCGGAUUGUCGUAUAAAACAGUUCGAACUAAACUAACAAAUAAACGUGUUAAAGUAAGACGACUUACUCAAAAACAUCUAAAUGAAUUGAAUUUGCAACAGUAGAAUUUUUUUAAAUCAAAUAUAAUUAUCUGUAAAAACUUA
rnacentral:lncRNA from 1 species